CGUCGCCCCCGAUGCUGCAGAUCGGGCCCACAGGGUAUUCAACAACAAGGCGGAGCGGGUGAAGCAAGAGCUGUGGGAUUUCUUUAGAUGCCAGGACGGACAUGAGGCCAGGGCGGAUGCGGUGGCUACCAAAUGCUGCAAAAAACUCGUCGUGGACAUGCAUUACGAGGCGCGCAUCCAGGCCGUCGUAACUUACCACGGGACCGUCGUUGGAACGAAGGUCACCAAAAGGGACGCAAGAACCAUGACGCUGACCCGGGACCAGUACCUGCAGAUGAUUCCUUAUUGGUGCGCCGCGCAUCCCCAGUGCUGGGAACAGAUGGUGGACAAGUGGUGC